rnacentral:rRNA from 1 species
GUGGCGGCGUGCCUAAUACAUGCAAGUCGUACGAGGUAAUCCAGCUUGCUGGAGAGACCUAGUGGCGAACGGGUGAGUAAUACGCAAGUAACCUGCCUGCAAGGGACUGGGAUAACACCUGGAAACGGGCGCUAAUACCGGAUAGGUAACAGAGGGGCAUCCCACUGUUAUAAGGUUAAAGACACAAGCAGAUGGGCUUACGGUGCAUUAGCUAGUUGGUGAGGUAACGGCCCACCAAGGCGAUGAUGCAUAGCCGGCCUGAGAGGGUGAACGGCCACAUUGGGACUGAGACACGGCCCAGACUCCUACGGGAGGCAGCAGUAGGGAAUUUUCGGCAAUGGGCGCAAGCCUGACCGAGCAACGCCGCGUGAAGUGAAGAAGAAUUUCGGUUCGUAAAGCUCUGUUGUAAGGGAAGAAUAACACGGAGAGAAUCCGUGCAUGACGGUACCUUACCAGAAAGCCACGGCUAACUACGUGCCAGCAGCCGC